rnacentral:tRNA from 1 species
UGCCUAUUAUCUCAGUUGGUUAGAGCGUGCUAAUAACGCAAAGGUCGCAGCUUCGAAAUUUUCAUGGGCCA